rnacentral:lncRNA from 1 species
AAAUUUCCUCUUUUUGCCUUUUCUUCUCAACAAAAUUUCUAUUAAAAUAUACCAAAAAAUAGAAAUUUCAGCAUUAAGACUUAUCAAGAUUUAAAGGAACCCCUUAAUAUAUUUUCAUAUCCUCAAACUUUUCUUCAAAUUUUCCUUAUAUGUAUAAUGGGAGGAGCCCUAGAUAGUCCCACAAGUGCACCUGCAACUUGUGUGCUAAAUCCACCCCUAGAUCAGUGAAGAACAUAGGCAGAUGGAGCCUAUGUUCAAUGGUUUCAACUGAACCUAGUAUAUUUUGACAUAGUAUAUAGAUAAAUAUUUGAAGAAUCAAUAAAAUUUCAAAAAAUAUAAAAUUAUGAACACAUAAUUUCAAAAGUAUAACUAGUUCGACUACGAAUUUAAAAGGUUGAACCUAUUGAAUUGUAUCAAGAAUGGUAUUUAUUAAUGAAAUUUACUUUACUUUAUUAAGGAUGAAUCUAUCCAAUUUAGAUUUUAAAAAUCUACCUAAAGUGAUGAAUGAUGAUUACUCCAAUUAAGUAAUUGGUCAUCGACAGUAGUAUUUAGCCCGUAAAUAUUAAUUAGGAAAUUUACAGGUUUUUCCUUAGCGGAAGUGUAUCUGCAACAACCACGACUUGUAUCACUGGUCAUCGGGAAUCCUCACGAAGCGAAUGAAUACACUUUGUCCACAACCUACUACCUUUCUCUAACAUGCAGAGUACUUAUCCUAGCCGCCCUCUCUUGAGUCUCUCAAACACCCAUAGCGGUGUAUAUACACGCCUUAGGUUUACACCUAACAAACCGACUAAUUAGCCAGCACCCCUUAUGGGUGUAUCAUGUCCAAAAGGCUAUUUUUUCCCAUGGACCUUAAAGAUAUUAUGACUCCAAAUUUACAUUAAGAAAACUACUCCAAGAAUCAAUAUAUCAAAACUAUUUUUGGAGGAUCUGAUACGGGUCCGACACCUAUUUUGGAGAUUUCGCGGAACACAGAAGAAAAGUACUCCAAGAAUCAAUAUAUCAAAACUAUUUUUGGAGGAUCUAAUAUGGGUGCGGCAGCUAUUUUGGAUAAUCCGUGCAACACAGAAGAAAACUACUCCAAGAAUCAAUAUAUCAAAACAACUACUACUAAGGCAAUCUUCUCCUGUUCUCUUAAUCUCUUUGUUUCUCUCAGCAGUAUGAAAAACACAAAGAAUUAACAUGAGUUAUCAGGUCAAACAAAGAAAAUUAAUUACCUGAGAAUUAUUAAUGGUCUGAGAGAUAGCCAAAGUGAGUUUAGAGGUAACAUCACUAUGAGUCAAUGUAUAUGUUCUUGGCAAUUUUCCUGGAUGUUUUUUCUCAUCAACUCCUAAAAAAAGUACCUUCAACUUUGAUGCUUCAAAUAUAGGUAUAUGUUCUUGGCAGCUUUCCUGGAUGUUUUUUCUCAUCAACUCCUAAAAAAAGUACCUUCAACUUUGAUGCUUCAAAUAUAGCUGGUCCAAAUAACCUUGCCACCU